rnacentral:rRNA from 1 species
CAGGAGGGUGCGAGCGUUGUCCGGAAUCACGUGGGCGUAAAGGGCGCGUAGGCGGCUUUGCAAGCGUGCGGUGAAAGCUCGGGGCUUAACUCCGAGUCUGCCGUGCGAACUGUGAGGCUUGAGUCUGGUAGAGGUCGAUGGAAUUCCGGGUGUAGCGGUGGAAUGCGUAGAGAUCCGGAAGAACACCGGUGGCGAAGGCGGUCGACUGGGCCAGUACUGACGCUGAGGCGCGACAGCGUGGGGAGCAAACAGGAUUAGAUACCCUGGUAGUCCACGCCGUAAACGAUGGGCACUAGGUCCUUGGGGGAGCGACCCCUUGAGGGCCGGCGCUAACGCAUUAAGUGCCCCGCCUGGGGAGUACGGCCGCAAGGCUG